GUGGGGAAUAUUGCGCAAUGGAGGAAACUCUGACGCAGCAACGCCGCGUGAAGGAAGAAGGCCUUCGGGUUGUAAACUUCUUUGACCGGGGACGAAUAAUGACGGUACCCGGGGAACAAGCCACGGCUAACUACGUGCCAGCAGCCGCGGUAAUACGUAGGUGGCGAGCGUUGUCCGGAAUUACUGGGUGUAAAGGGCGCGCAGGCGGGAAUACAAGUCUGAUGUGAAAUUCUGCGGCUUAACUGCAGGGCUGCAUCAGAAACUGUAUUUCUUGAGUGCUGGAGAGGAAAGCGGAAUUCCCAGUGUAGCGGUGAAAUGCGUAGAUAUUGGGAGGAACACCAGUGGCGAAGGCGGCUUUCUGGACAGCAACUGACGCUGAGGCGCGAAAGCGUGGGGAGCAAACAGGAUUAGAAACCCGGGUAGUCC
rnacentral:rRNA from 1 species